rnacentral:tRNA from 1 species
GCAAUGGUGGUUCAGUGGUAGAAUUCUCACCUUUCAUGGGGGAGACCAAGGUUUGAUUCCUGGUCAAGGCA